AUCAAGUUCUUCAAGAACUUGGAGUCUUCAGGGAGAAAAAAAACCCCAUGCAGCAACAGCAGGGCUAAUGCUCUUGGCAGUGAAGCAGAUACACUGGAUUAAAGUAAACCCAGGAGCCAAGAAGUUAUACUGCGUAUAGAGACCACAUGUAAUUGCUUUUUUGGACACCUAGAAUAUUCUUAUUUAUCCUGCUCUUUGUAAUUGCCUCAUCGCCCCCUUACCACUGCUAGUGGAUGAUUAUUACAGCACCACUGUGAAUUCCAGAUGCUGCUGCAUACCCCAGACUCUUACAGAC